rnacentral:lncRNA from 1 species
UUGAGAGAAUACAUAUCGUGAAUGGUGGACCAACUACCUUAAUGGAGUUGAAUAAAUUCCAUGUCAAUUUUUUGAUAAAAAAAAAGCUUUUCAUACCUAACCAAAUUAAGAUCGGAUUAUUUGUCACUCAUUUUUUUCGACCAACCACACCGUACGGAAAAUUCAUGUUUCACCAGAGCGUUGCAAAGAAUAACUUCAAUAUUAAAAAGAGUACUAGAUCUUGAUCCGCACAUCCGUGCGGGUUUAAUUAUUCUAUAUUAAAAUAUUCUAAUUAUAUAACAUUAUCAUGUAACAAUUUUAUUUUACAUAAUAAAUACAAAACAAUUAUGUUGUCAACAUUAUUAUGUAAC